rnacentral:rRNA from 1 species
CCCGCUGAACUUAAGCAUAUCAAUAAGCGGAGGAAAAGAAACCAACAGGGAUUGCCCCAGUAACGGCGAGUGAAGCGGCAACAGCUCAAAUUUGAAAUCUGGUCCCCAGGGCCCGAGUUGUAAUUUGUAGAGGAUGCUUUUGGCGAGGUGCCUUCCGAGUUCCCUGGAACGGGACGCCAUAGAGGGUGAGAGCCCCGUCUGGUUGGAUACCAAGCCUCUGUAAAGCUCCUUCGACGAGUCGAGUAGUUUGGGAAUGCUGCUCUAAAUGGGAGGUAUAUGUCUUCUAAAGCUAAAUACCGGCCAGAGACCGAUAGCGCACAAGUAGAGUGAUCGAAAGAUGAAAAGCACUUUGAAAAGAGGGUUAAAUAGUACGUGAAAUUGUUGAAAGGGAAGCGUUUGUGACCAGACUUGGGCCCGGUUAAUCAUCCAGCGUUCUCGCUGGUGCACUUUGCCGGCCCAGGCCAGCAUCAGUUCGCGCCGGGGGAUAAAGGCUUCGGGAAUGUGGCUCCUCCGGGAGUGUUAUAGCCCGCUGCGUAAUACCCUGGUGCGGACUGAGGUUCGCGCUCCGCAAGGAUGCUGGCGUAAUGGUCAUCAGCGACCCGUCUUGAAACACGG